AGUGAACGCUGGCGGUAGGCCUAACACAUGCAAGUCGAACGGCAGCACAGUAAGAGCUUGCUCUUACGGGUGGCGGGUGGCGGACGGGUGAGGAAUACAUCGGAAUCUACUUUUUCGUGGGGGAUAACGUAGGGAAACUUACGCUAAUACCGCAUACGACCUACGGGUGAAAGCAGGGGAUCUUCGGACCUUGCGCGAUUGAAUGAGCCGAUGUCGGAUUAGCUAGUUGGCGGGGUAAAGGCCCACCAAGGCGACGAUCCGUAGCUGGUCUGAGAGGAUGAUCAGCCACACUGGAACUGAGACACGGUCCAGACUCCUACGGGAGGCAGCAGUGGGGAAUAUUGGACAAUGGGCGCAAGCCUGAUCCAGCCAUACCGCGUGGGUGAAGAAGGCCUUCGGGUUGUAAGGCCCUUUUGUUGGGAAAGAAAAGCAGCAGGUUAAUACCCCGCUGUUCUGACGGUACCCAAAGAAUAAGCACCGGCUAACUUCGUG
rnacentral:rRNA from 1 species